rnacentral:lncRNA from 1 species
GGGAAGCCCAGGACCGCCCUAAUUACCAGCCCUCCAACUGCUCAGGCUCAUUUUCCAAUUGUGCCUUUAUCUCUAAUUAUUGUCUUUACAGCCAGUUCGGGCACAGCAAGAGAAGAGAAGUACACAGUGUCGCAGAAAAUUGCCGGAGAGACCGGCAGUCCCGCUCAGGCGGCGGGUGCCCAGAGCUGCAGGGAGGGCUCCUCGGAGCUNNNNNNNNNNNNNNNNNNNNNNNNNNNNNNNNNNNNNNNNNNNNNNNNNNGUGCCUGGACACGGGGGGCAGGCUUCCUGAGCGCAGCCUGGGGAGUCCAGGGACCCAGUGGCCGCUGGCUGAGUGCAGACCCCCGCACCCAGGCCCAGGUGCCGACCGCAGGGCUCUCUCAGACAGCCCAGCCUGCCGAGCAGCUCUGCCCUCCCCUCAGCCACUGGGCCCGCGGGCCCAGAGGCAGUCACAGGCCCGGCUCCCACCCCCAACUGCUGGAGCCCCACCGGACAUGUUGGCCCCGGGACCUGCUCAGUGUCUCCUGGACCUCUGGCCUGACCCAUGACUCCCAUCCCAGGCGGCAGAGCCUGUCCCGCGUGCCGCCCCCAGCACACCCCCAGGGACGGGCAGGCGAGGCGCUGGAUUCACGCAUAGCUCCGUGCGGGCUGCAGGCCUGGCUCCUGGGGGCCUGGACCCAACACCUCAGUAGGCGAAGGCACACGCCGUCCUGCCAGCACGGGGUCCCCGGGCUCUCGCCCUGCCGGCCCCCACCUUCCCGGGCCCCCGAGCUGGAGAAGAGGAGGGGCGCAGGCACCCCCACCUCUCCAUCAACCCCCAUCCCGAGCCUGCCCAGGGCUGACAGCCCCCCACAAACCCACGCUGUUCCGGGGCCGCCCCGCACCACAGGCCGCUUGGCAGCCCAGAGCAGAGGCGCCCCGUGGGGAUAGGAGCUGGUCCAAGGCGCCCCGGGCUCAGCAGGACUCACCCAGGUAGGGAACCUGAGGCCCAGCGAGGAACCGCAGGGUCCCCAAGACAGCACCUGCGCCGUGCGCCGAUGCCCACCUGCCCAGAGUCUGCCCAGGGCCCGACGGGUGCACACGGGGCCCUCUCCUCCCCAGGGCCCACUGGGGGCUCUCAGCAGAGGUGGGAGGGCAGCCAGGGCCCCAGGCCCAGCCGGAGCGGACAGGCCCAGGAGCCACCCUCCCUGAACCGUGGCUGCUCGUCCGGUCCUGCCCUGGUCAGGACAGCCCCCAGCAGAGCCCAGCC